GAUGAAGAACGCAGCGAAAUGCGAUAAUUAAUGUGAAUUGCAGAAUUCAGUGAAUCAUCGAGUCUUUGAACGCACAUUGCGCCCCCUGGUAUUCCGGGGGCCAUGCCUGUCCGAGCGUCAUUGCUGCCCUCAAGCCCGGCUUGUGUGUUGGGCCUCGUCCCCCCUCCGGGGGACGGGCCCGAAAGGCAGCGGCGGCACCGUGUCCGGUCCUCGAGCGUAUGGGGCUUUGUCACCCGCUCUGUAGGCCCGGCCGGCGCCUUAGCCGACGACACAAUCUUUUUUUUCAGGUUGACCUCGGAUCAGGUAGGGAUACCCGCUGAACUUAAGCAUAUCAAUAAGCGGAGGA
rnacentral:misc_RNA from 1 species